rnacentral:rRNA from 1 species
AUUGAACGCUGGCGGCAGGCCUAACACAUGCAAGUCGAACGAGUGGCGGACGGGUUAGUAAUGUCUGGGAAACUGCCCGAUGGAGGGGGAUAACUACUGGAAACGGUAGCUAAUACCGCAUACCAUCGGAUUUGCCCGAAGGGGAUGAGCUAGUGGGUGGGGUAAUGGCUCACCUAGGCGACGAUCCCUAGCUGGUCUGAGAGGAUGACCAGCCACACUGGAACUGAGACACGGUCCAGACUCCUACGGGAGGCAGCAGUGGGGAAUAUUGCACAAGGGGCGAAAGCCUGAUGCAGCCAUGCCGCGUGUAUGAAGAAGGCCUUCGGGUUGUAAAGUACUUUCAGCGGGGAGGCGUUACCCGCAGAAGAAGCACCGGCUAACUCCGUGCCAGCAGCCGCGGUAAUUC